rnacentral:rRNA from 1 species
UACAGAGGUGGCAAGCGUUGUUCGGAAUUACUGGGCGUAAAGGGCUCGUAGGCGGCCUUCUAAGUCAGACGUGAAAUCCCCCGGCUUAACCUGGGAACUGCGUCUGAUACUGGAGGGCUUGAGUGCGGGAGAGGGAUGUGGAAUUCCAGGUGUAGCGGUGAAAUGCGUAGAUAUCUGGAGGAACACCGGUGGCGAAGGCGGCAUCCUGGACCGACACUGACGCUGAGGCGCGAAAGCUAGGGUAGCAAACGGG